rnacentral:rRNA from 1 species
AGGUAGUCAAGAUGAGAAUUCUAAGGUGAGCGAGCGAACUCUCGUUAAGGAACUCGGCAAAAUGACCCCGUAACUUCGGGAGAAGGGGUGCUCUUUAGGGUUAACGCCCAGAAGAGCCGCAGUGAAUAGGCCCAAGCGACUGUUUAUCAAAAACACAGGUCUCUGCUAAACCGUAAGGUGAUGUAUAGGGGCUGACGCCUGCCCGGUGCUGGAAGGUUAAGAGGAGUGGUUAGCUUCUGCGAAGCUACGAAUCGAAGCCCCAGUAAACGGCGGCCGUAACUAUAACGGUCCUAAGGUAGCGAAAUUCCUUGUCGGGUAAGUUCCGACCCGCACGAAAGGCGUAACGAUUUGGGCACUGUCUCAACGAGAGACUCGGUGAAAUCAUAGUACCUGUGAAGAUGCAGGUUACCCGCGACAGGACGGAAAGACCCCGUGGAGCUUUACUGUAGCCUGAUAUUGAAAUUCGGCACAGCUUGUACAGGAUAGGUAGGAGCCUUUGAAACGUGAGCGCUAGCUUACGUGGAGGCGCUGGUGGGAUACUACCCUAGCUGUGUUGGCUUUCUAACCCGCACCACUUAUCGUGGUGGGAGACAGUGUCAGGCGGGCAGUUUGACUGGGGCGGUCGCCUCCUAAAAGGUAACGGAGGCGCUCAAAGGUUCCCUCAGAAUGGUUGGAAAUCAUUCAUAGAGUGUAAAGGCAUAAGGGAGCUUGACUGCGAGACCUACAAGUCGAGCAGGGUCGAAAGACGGACUUAGUGAUCCGGUGGUUCCGCAUGGAAGGGCCAUCGCUCAACGGAUAAAAGCUACCCCGGGGAUAACAGGCUUAUCUCCCCCAAGAGUUCACAUCGACGGGGAGGUUUGGCACCUCGAUGUCGGCUCAUCGCAUCCUGGGGCUGUAGUCGGUCCCAAGGGUUGGGCUGUUCGCCCAUUAAAGCGGUACGCGAGCUGGGUUCAGAACGUCGUGAGACAGUUCGGUCCCUAUCCGUCGUGGGCGUAGGAAAUUUGAGAGGAGCUGUCCUUAGUACGAGAGGACCGGGAUGGACAUACCUCUGGUGUACCAGUUGUCGUGCCAACGGCAUAGCUGGGUAGCUAUGUGUGGACGGGAUAAGUGCUGAAAGCAUCUAAGCAUGAAGCCCCCCUCAAGAUGAGAUUUCCCAACUUCGGUUAUAAGAUCCCUCAAAGAUGAUGAG